rnacentral:rRNA from 1 species
GACGAACGCUGGCGGCGUGCUUAACACAUGCAAGUCGAACGGAAAGGCCCUGCUUUUGUGGGGUGCUCGAGUGGCGAACGGGUGAGUAACACGUGAGUAACCUGCCCUUGACUUUGGGAUAACUUCAGGAAACUGGGGCUAAUACCGGAUAGGAGCUCCUGCUGCAUGGUGGGGGUUGGAAAGUUUCGGCGGUUGGGGAUGGACUCGCGGCUUAUCAGCUUGUUGGUGUGGUAGUGGCUUACCAAGGCUUUGACGGGUAGCCGGCCUGAGAGGGUGACCGGCAACAUUGGGACUGAGAUACGGACCAGACUCCUACGGGAGGCAGCAGUGGGGAAUAUUGCACAAUGGGCGGAAGCCUGAUGCAGCAAAGCCGCGUGCGGGAUGACGGCCUUCGGGUUGUAAACCGCUUUCGCCUGUGACGAAGCGUGAGUGACGGUAAUGGGUAAAGAAGCACCGGCUAACUACGUG